AGUGAACGCUGGCGGUAGGCCUAACACAUGCAAGUCGAACGGCAGCACAGUAAGAGCUUGCUCUUACGGGUGGCGAGUGGCGGACGGGUGAGGAAUACAUCGGAAUCUACUUUUUCGUGGGGGAUAACGUAGGGAAACUUACGCUAAUACCGCAUACGACCUACGGGUGAAAGCAGGGGAUCUUCGGACCUUGCGCGAUUGGAUGAGCCGAUGUCGGAUUAGCUAGUUGGCGGGGUAAAGGCCCACCAAGGCGACGAUCCGUAGCUGGUCUGAGAGGAGGAACGGGCACAGGGGGACUGAGAGAAGGACCAGACGCCUAGGGGAGGCAGAAGGGGGGAAUAUGGCACAAUGGUAGGAAGGGGGAGGAAGCGACGACGUGGGGGGGAGGACGGCCUUCGGGUUGAAAAAAGCUGUCGCUAGGGACGAAGCGCAAGGGACGGUACCUGGAGAAGAAGCACCGGCUAACUACGUG
rnacentral:rRNA from 1 species